ACCUUACUUUUAAUCUAACCUCGGCUGAGUUGUUCCAUACGUUGAAGUGGAAGUGCAGAUAAAGCCACUCUCUCUUUGCCAUUACAUCUGGAAUGCAAGUGCAACAACCUGUCGGGCCAAUUGAGUAUCUGUCUUACCUUUUAUUUAAUAUAACUUUGGCUGAGCAGUCAUUAGAAAACAAAUUCCUACGUGUUGAAAUGCAACUACACAAGUACACUCUGUGCUUUCCAGGGUUGGCAAAAAACAGUUAGCAGCCAUGGUAACCGUUGCCAGUGGCGCUUCUUUUCGUUUUGUUGUGGGUUUGUCUGCCGCAUUUGAGAGGAAAAUUCCGAGAUGACGCUGUACUUUGACACUAAAAUUGAGUUUUUGGACUCGGAUGCAGUGAGUACCAUCAGUAGCUGGCAUCCCAAUGAGCCCCUCUUCGCAGUGGCCUCCUUCAGCCCGGAUCGGGGCGGUUCCGUCACCAUAUUUGCAGAUACCGGUGAGCCGCAAAGAGAUGUAACCUAUCCAGUGCAUGCCACCUCGCAGGCCACCGCCUUGUGCUGGCACCCUGAGAAGGCGCUGCUGGCCAGUGGAUGGGAACACGGAGACAUACACGUUUGGUUUGCCGGUCAUCGGGAAUUUGCCAGCGUCAAUGCACCCCACAAAGCGGCAAUUGUGUUGCUGCAAUUCAGCGAGCAGGGAGGCCGCAUGGUCACGGCGGAUGCAAUGGGUCUGGUCACCGGCUGGCGCUGCGAUGGACAGUACCAGUUUCUGACCAUGUUCUCGCACGAUCUGCGAGAGGUGCUGCUGUUGGUCUGCUUCCGACGCACCGUCGAGAGCGAGGUGCGUGAGGAGAUGGCAAAUCUGGCCAAGGCGGCGGUGGCUGGCGAUGAGAACGCCUUGGACACGCUCACCAACUGGCGGCCACGAACCGCUGCACGUGGCCUUACUCAUUCCGGAGUUCGGGACAAUCAUUGCUUCUAUGCAUGCACACAAGGAGGCGUGGUCUACUACAUCAACCAGGGCGGGGCCUGCAUCGAGGUGAUGAAGUGCGGCUCUCUGCCGCCCAUAGUCCAGAUGCUCUGGCAUCCCAAAAAGGAUGCAGUCAUCUGCCUGAUGGAGGACUUGACUGUGGUUCUCUUUUUGGUGGAGUCUACGGGAAUUCUAACUGAACUGGAUCGCGUAAAGAUGAGCGGCCGUGGUGGGGGCAGGCAGGGUGGCAUAGCGUGGUCGGGCAAUAGCCUGGCCAUCAUCACAGGCGAUCUUUUUGUGCGCAUCUGGGACAUUGAGCGGAGCGACAACUAUCUCCUAAGAAUGGAUCUACCCAGCUCUAGCCAUUUAAACUCCUCACUCUCCAGCCUGGCCAAUGUCACUACGACCACCUCGUCGAACAAUUUCUUCAGCCAGGACAGCACCGAAAGCAACAACAUACUGCCUCGCAAACCGAUCAAGUACGGCCAGCUGAGCAGUGGGGAGAUCUUCACCUGCCUGGCGUACAGUGCCAGCUAUCAAACCCUGUGCGCCGGCACCUCCCUGGGCAACCUUUACACCUGGAAGCGCAGUGGCACUCGCCUGGUCACCGCACCGGAGGAUAUCUGGCAGCUGACGAACAUAUCUUCGGUUCGGGGCGCCGUCAGAAGCUGCGAGUGGGGAUUCAACGAGCUCUCGAAGCCCUGCAUGCUGGUCAAUUGUCUAUCAAAUGUGUACAUGCUGAAGGAGCAGCCGCUGCUGGCGUUCCAUACCCGAGAGCUGUGGGCGGUGCAGCGAUCGGCCAAGUCGGUGCAGCUGACGCACUGCAGCGGACGGCAGACGAGUGUCCAGUCUGAGUUUGCUGUGACGGCUCUGGCCCUGAACGAGCUCAGCCUCGUGAUGAGCAACGGACGGAGUAUCUCCUCGUACAGCCUCCAGAAAGUGGACAAGGACAUGGAUGAGUUUGACGAGGUGCUGGAGGCAGUGCCUGUGGACGGUGGAGAUCCUCCUGCAUCCACGGCCUCCCCUCCGUCGCUGAGUGUGAAGCUGCUGCAGACCUUUCCCGCCGAGUGCCUGCUGCUGUGCCUCCAGAACCAGAAUAUCUUCUGCCUGUCUAGCAGCGACAUUAUGGUCUACUCCGUGGGCGGUGUGGUGCUGCACCGCAUCCAGGCCAGUGACAUUGAGGGAAAGAUCAUUGGCAUGGACUUGAGUGGAUGCUAUCUCUCCGUCUUCACGAUGAACGGGUAUGUAAAGGCCUACGACGUUUCGCGGCACGAUCCCAAGCUGCUUUUUCCCAGCAAGUCGGGGCACGACAUCUUCGACGACUUUGGCGAGUUCAUUCUGGUGAAGUGCAACAGCCAGGGCAGCCACCUGGCCAUGGUCAUAGCCAACAGUAGCUUCAUGCCCCGCUCCGCGCUCUUCUGCUGGGACUUUGAGCGCAACAAUCUCUUCGAGUACGACCUGCAAGAAGAGACCAGUCUGCCAGUGAGGCUCUUCUGGGACACGGAGGAGCCGCGACUCCUGGCCAUGGAGGUGAAAUCGAUGAUGCAAAAGCCUCAGCCAACAGCCAAGAACUCAAACUCCCAUCAGCCGCCCAUGCACUUUGUCCAGUCGAAGAUCAUGCUGAUGUUUUACUCGGAUCAGAGUCAGGGAUCAGGUCUCAAUAUGCUCGAGUCACAGCUGGUGACCGCUGGCUGCCAGCUGCUGAACCUCUGCGUGCCCAGCGUGGUCCGCUUGAAGAUCAAUAUGGUGGAAGAGCAGCCGCUGCAGGACUUUGCAGAUCUCCGUCAGUGCGAUGCGGCAACCAGGAAACUAGUCCUCAACUUCAGCCUGCACGUGGCGGAGGGAAACAUGGAUCUGGCCUACCGCAGCAUCCGCUCCAUCCAGUCGAAGGUCAUUUGGACGAAUCUGGCCAAGAUGUGCGUCCACACGAACCGCCUGGACGUGGCGAAGGUGUGCAUGGGCCACCUGGAGCAGGCACGUUCCGUCCGCGCCUUGCGACAGGCCAUGGAAGACGAUGAUCUCGAGACAGAGGCCAAAGUGGCCGUCCUGGCCAUCGAACUGGGAAUGAUCGAGGAGGCCAAGGAUCUGUACAAACGCUGCAAGCGAUUCGAUUUGCUCAACAAACUCGUGCAGGCCACAGGCCGCCUGGACGAGGCGCUCCAAAUGGCCGAAAAGGAGGACAGGAUUCACCUGAAGCACACAUACUACCAGAAGGCACAAGCGCUGCGCGAGAAAGGCGACAUCAAGGGGGCCCUGGAGUACUUUGAAAAGACCCAGAACCCGUCGCAGAACAUCACCCAACUGCUGAUCGAGAAUCCCGGGGCCAUGAAGCGCUACAUCCAGACCACCAGCGAUCCCAAGCUACUGCGUUGGUGGGGUCAGUACAUUGAGAGCUCCGGGGACAUGGACGCGGCUUUGGCUGUCUAUCACAAAGCAGAGGAUUGGUUCUCCCAGGUGAAGAUACUCUGCUAUUUGGGAAAGAUCUCCAAGGCGGAUGCGAUUGCCAGGCAGUCGGGUGAUCGGGCCGCUUGCUACCAUCUGGCGCGGCACUACGAGAACGUGGGCAAGUUCCAGGAGGCCAUCAUGUUCUUCACGCGCGCCCAGACCUUCAGCAAUGCCAUUCGCAUCUGCAAGGAGAACGACUUCCAGGAGGAGCUCUGGACGGUGGCCAGCUCCUCGCGGCAGCGGGACAAGGCCAUUGCGGCCGCCUACUUUGAGGAGUGCGGAAAUUUCAAGCACGCUGUAGAGCUCUACCAUCGGGCGGGCAUGCUUCACAAGGCCCUGGAGAUGGCAUUCGAGUCGCAGCAGCCGGAGAUCCUCGAGAUUAUUGCCACGGAGCUCAGUCCGGACUCGGAUGCGGAGCUAAUCAACCGCUGUGCGGACUUCUUCUGCAGCAUCGAGCAACACCAGAAGGCAGUACAUCUGCUGGCCAAAACGAACCACCUGGAGCGGGCUGUUGGAAUCUGCACAGAGAAGGGUGUGCCCGUGACGGAGGAGCUGGCUGAGAUGCUGACCCCCGACAAGGGCGACUUUGAGGAGGCCACGCGCACCUCUAUCCUCGUACAGCUUGGAGAGCUGCUGCAGCAGCAGGGCGACUACCACAGCGCCACCAAGAAGUUCACCCAGGCGGGGGAUAAGAUGCGGGCCAUGAAGAGCCUCCUCAAGUCGGGAAACACCGACAAGAUCGUGUUCUUCGCGAACAUGUCCCGCCAGCGAGAGGUGUAUAUUAUGGCGGCCAACUACCUGCAGGCCCUGGACUGGCAAGGCGAUGCCUCCAUCCUCAAGCACAUCGUCAGCUUCUACACCAAGGGUCAGGCCUUCGAUUCGCUGGCCAACUUCUAUGCGAUCUGCGCUUCGAUGGAGAUCGAGGAGUACCAGGACUAUGGAAAGGCCCUGACUGCCAUGCAGGAGGCCUCCAAGUGCCUGGAGAAACUGAGCCACGCCCAGCAUGCCUACAACAAUCUCCAGCGCACGGUGGCCGACGUCAAGCAGAUCCUAGAGAUCCAGCAAGCGCUUCGGGACGGCGACAACCAGGCCGUCAUUGGCUCCUGCCGCAACAUGCUGAUCAAGCCUGAGCUGCCGCCCAUCCGGCACUCCCACAUUCUGGCCAUGCUUGUGCGUGCACUCGUUUAUGCCAAGCAAUAUCCGGAGGCGGGUCGCGCUCUCAAGGAGCUAGCCGUAAAGGACAACUCGUGGAGCUCCUCGGGUCUGCUGGACCGAGCCCUCGUACAGAAGGUGGCCAAGGAAUGCGACCUGGAUUUUAAUUUGAUCUGGAACUCGGGUCGUCAGGUGACCACAGCCACCACAGCCACCACAGCCACCAGCAUGACUACCACAACGACCACAACCAGUGACGAUGAUGAAGACGCCGACGACGAGGAGAUAAGAGAGGAACUGCAUUAGGAAUCGCCCACCCCCACAACUAAAUCCGGCCAAGGGUCACCCUCCAGCGAACCUACGCGUAAAUGAAUGCAACAAUGAGCAAUCCAUACUAUUUCGCAAUAUUGCUCACAGCAGCAGCUCUCCCUUCACGCCCCACUCCCUCACAAGCCAUCGACCCAUUAGAGGUUUUUAUGAAUGAAAUAUUCGAGAUGGUCGGGUCUGCGUAGUAAAAGCUCUCCUCUACACACAACGUAGGCUUCAACGCGUCACCAUAAAAUAAAUAUAAACAAUACACAUUCCAUCCGAGGCGACUAUGGAAUACCUGCUAAAGAACCUAAAAAGCUUACAAGGCCUACAAUACAACACUCUCGCAGUGAUAUGAAUUGGAUUGCUGGCAAUAAUGAAAAUAUUAUUCAAUCGUUUGGAAAAAUAACAGAUUCUUAUCUUCAAAAGUGUGACUAAACCAUACGUUUUCUGCGAA
rnacentral:misc_RNA from 1 species